CGGUAGGUCAGUAUGCCCCGAAUAUCCCGGGCUACACGCGAGCUACGAAUGGUUGGUACAAUGGGGUAUCUACCCCGAAAGGGGACGGGAAUCUCCUAAAACCAAUCUUAGUUCGGAUUGAGGGCUGCAACUCGCCCUCAUGAAGCUGGAAUCCGUAGUAAUCGCGUUUCAACAGAACGCGGUGAAUACGGUCCCUGCUCCUU
rnacentral:rRNA from 1 species